AAAGAUUGAAGAACCAUUAGGCAUGAUCCAAGUUAGUUGGUUUUGCUUUUUAAGCAUCUGCCAGAGAAAUUAGAGUCCAUCCCAUUUGCUAACGCUAGGUUGCGUGCUUGAUUUGUUUGUAUUAUUGUGUUCAUUGGCUUGAAGUCAUGAUUUAAUCUAGCUCAUUGCCUGUUUUAGGAGGCCUAUUCUACCCCGAUUCUGCCAUUGGACAUUCUUGCUGACAGGCCUCCUGAAAAGAAAUUUGAAUGGGUGAGUUAGCCACAUGCCAUUAUUAUAGAAUUUUUAUAUUAUUCUUUCCUGUAAUUUCUGAUGUUUGAUUGCAACUUCUAUGCGCACACAUUCUUCUCAAAACUGGCAUGAUAUGCAACCAAACUUCUUCAGGCAAAGGUAAGCAUCCUGCUAGUGCAAUCAUUUUAUAGUUGUGUACCCAGAGCUCUGCAUUAUUCGUCUUGCAGAUGUAACUAAAAAUCGCAUCUGUAUACAGAGACUGGUGGCAAAAUAUGGAUCACUUGUAUCA
rnacentral:lncRNA from 1 species